UACAGAGGGUGCAAGCGUUGUUCGGAAUCACUGGGCGUAAAGGGUGCGUAGGCGGUUUAGUAAGUCAGAUGUGAAAUCCCAGGGCCUAACUCUGGAACUGCAUUUGAAACUACUAGGCUUGAGUAGAGUAGAGGCUAGCGGAAUUCCUAGUGUAGAAGUGAAAUUCGUAGAUAUUAGGAGGAACACCAGUGGCGAAGGCGGCUAGCUGGGCUUUUACUGACGCUGAGGCACGAAAGCGUGGGGAUCAAACAGG
rnacentral:rRNA from 1 species